rnacentral:rRNA from 1 species
GUCAAAAAGCGUUUCGGGAAGGUGGCCAUCGCUUCGCGUUGGUGUUAUAGACCCGGAUCGCGUUGGCCCGUCGGCAGACCGUGGAAGACCGCUCGCGGUCGGCGUCCCGCUUCGUCUCUGUUCGAUCGACCGACUGGGGGAAACUGUCGUCAGUGUCCUUCGACUGCGGUCGUUCAGCGGGCGGACGUGUGGGCGUCGUACUCGGCGUCAGUGGCGAAUCGGUCGGUAACCUGUCCGACCCGUCUUGAAACACGGACCAAGGAGUCUAACAUGUGCGCGAGUCAUUGGGCACGUACGAAACCCAGAGGCAUAAUGAAAGUGAAGGCCUUCCCCGAGGUCGGCCCAGGCAGGAUCCGUGGCACGGCAACGUGUCGCGGCGCACUGCCGGCCCGUCUCAACCGCAUCGUCGGUGAGGCGGCGCUAGAGCGUACACGUUGGGACCCGAAAGAUGGUGAACUAUGCCUGAGUAGGACGAAGCCAGAGGAAACUCUGGUGGAGGUCCGCAGCGAUUCUGACGUGCAAAUCGAUCGUCAAACUUGGGUAUAGGGGCGAAAGACUAAUCGAACCAUCUAGUAGCUGGUUCCUGUCGAAGUUUCCCUAGGAGUACC